CCUCUUUGUGGUUUCUCCCUUUAGCCAUCAUUUUUCUAACAUAAAUCUAGCUUGCAAGGAAUAAAAAUUCUUCAUUUAUUUCUUUCAUUUUUCGUUACACACCUUCUUUUCAAUUUCUGCAUUGUCGUUAUCAUCGUGCUUCAUCCAGCACUUGGGAAGUUUCCAGCUUAUCUAUUCGCGGAUGGCUCAUGCAUAUGUAGGCCUAGGACAACAUCGUUUCAUUGCGA
rnacentral:lncRNA from 1 species